rnacentral:rRNA from 1 species
GACGAACGCUGGCGGCGUGCCUAAUACAUGCAAGUUGAGCGCUGAAGGUUGGUACUUGUACCAACUGGAUGAGCAGCGAACGGGUGAGUAACGCGUGGGUAAUCUGCCUUUGAGCGGGGGACAACAUUUGGAAACGAAUGCUAAUACCGCAUAAAAACUUUAAACACAAGUUUUAAGUUUGAAAGAUGCAAUUGCAUCACUCAAAGAUGAUCCCGCGUUGUAUUAGCUAGUUGGUGAGGUAAAGGCUCACCAAGGCGAUGAUACAUAGCCGACCUGAGAGGGUGAUCGGCCACAAUGGGACUGGGACACGGCCCAAACUCCUACGGGAGGGAGCAGUAGGGAAUCUUCGGCAAUGGACGAAAGUCUGACCGAGGAACGCCGCGGGAGUGAAGAAGGUUUUCGGAUCGUAAAACUCUGUUGGUAGGGAAGAACGAUGGUGGGAGUGGAAAGCGCAUCAAGUGACGGUAACUAACCAGAAAGGGACGGCUAACUACGUG